rnacentral:lncRNA from 1 species
UGUUACUUCCCUUCAAGGCAUCAAGAAGUUAAGGGACUACCCAAGGCCACUGUAGCUACAAUGGGAUUAGUGCCCUUAUAAGAAGAGACUCCAGGGCUUCCUCUCUACCACAUGAGGACAGAGUGAGAAGAUGGCUGUCUGCAACUGCCCUAAGGGCCAUCACAAGAACUCAACCGUGCAGGUCUUGAUCUCAGACUUCCAGCCUCCAGAACGGGUCAUUGUAGAUGUAAUGAGUUAGGAUGACGUCAUAGUGGAGCGGGGAAACGCCAUGUGAAGAUUAUGGAUUUCUGCUGCCACAAGCCAAGUAACUACCAGAAGCCAGGAGAGAGGGCUGGAGCAAGGGAGCCUGGCCCUGACGACACCUUGAUCUCAGACUUCGGGCCUCCAUAAUGGUGGCUUCCUCAAUCCUGUACAUGAAUUGGUGGCAGU